rnacentral:rRNA from 1 species
CACGUAGGGCGCGAGCGUUGUCCGGAAUUAUUGGGCGUAAAGAGCUCGUAGGCGGCCUGUUGCGUCCGCUGUGAAAGCCCGGGGCUUAACCCCGGGUCGGCAGUGGAUACGGGCAGGCUAGAGGUAGGUAGGGGAGAAUGGAAUUCCCGGUGUAGCGGUGAAAUGCGCAGAUAUCGGGAGGAACACCGGUGGCGAAGGCAAUCCCCUGGGCCUGCACUGACGCUCAUGCACGAAAGCGUGGGGAGCAAACAGG